rnacentral:rRNA from 1 species
UACAGAGGGUGCGAGCGUUAAUCGGAAUUACUGGGCGUAAAGCGCGCGUAGCCGGUUUUGUAAGUCAGAUGUGAAAUCCCUGGGCUCAACCUGGGAACUGCAUUUGAGACUGCAUGGCUAGAGUAUCGAAGAGGGAAGUGGAAUUUCCGGUGUAGCGGUGAAAUGCGUAGAUAUCGGAAGGAAGAACAGUGGCGAAGGCGGGUCUCUGGACAGUUCCUGACGCUGAGGCACGAAGGUCAGGGGAGCAAACGGG